CGAAAUUCAAAGCAUGUAUUAUCGUCGCGAAACACAGAGACCGUGUUACACGGGAGAUAAUUGAAGCGGGAGAAAUUCUACGUUUAAGGGAUGGUUGCGUCAGUACCCCCUCUGUCGCUCUCACUGACAAGGAGAUCAGAUACCUCGGGCUAUCACCACGUUGAAUUUUGUGUGGUUUUGUC
rnacentral:lncRNA from 1 species